rnacentral:rRNA from 1 species
UACGUAGGUGGCAAGCGUUGUCCGGAUUUACUGGGCGUAAAGAGCGCGCAGGCGGUCGUUCAAGUCGAGUGUGAAAGCCCCCGGCUCAACUGGGGAGGGUCACUUGAUACUGAUCGACUCGAAGGCAGGAGAGGGAAGCGGAAUUCCCGGUGUAGUGGUGAAAUGCGUAGAUAUCGGGAGGAACACCAGUGGCGAAGGCGGCUUCCUGGCCUGUUCUUGACGCUG